rnacentral:rRNA from 1 species
GAGUUUGAUCCUGGCUCAGGACGAACGCUGGCGGCGUGCUUAACACAUGCAAGUCGAACGCUGAAGCCUAGCUUUUGUUGGGUGGAUGAGUGGCGAACGGGUGAGUAACACGUGAGUAACCUGCCCCCUUCUUUGGGAUAACGCCCGGAAACGGGUGCUAAUACUGGAUAUUCACUGAUCUUCGCAUGGGGGUUGGUGGAAAGGUUUUUUCUGGUGGGGGAUGGGCUCGCGGCCUAUCAGCUUGUUGGUGGGGUGAUGGCCUACCAAGGCUUUGACGGGUAGCCGGCCUGAGAGGGUGACCGGUCACAUUGGGACUGAGAUACGGCCCAGACUCCUACGGGAGGCAGCAGUGGGGAAUAUUGCACAAUGGGCGAAAGCCUGAUGCAGCGACGCCGCGUGAGGGAUGGAGGCCUUCGGGUUGUAAACCUCUUUCGCUCAUGUCAAGCCGCAACAUUGGUUG